UCAGCAUAAAUCCUGGAUCUAAAUAUAUUCCAUAACUAAUUACUGGCAUAAGUAUCUCUUGACUAUGACAAGCAUCUAAUAGAGCUUCUGAACUGAAUUAUUGAGUCAAUAGAUUUCAUGUACAUGUAAUGAAUGUAUUGUGGUCAUGUGCACUCUCUAUAACUUGGUUUAACAUUUCUUUUUGACUGAAAUGGAUUUCUGGAAAAUGUAACAGUUUUUGCGAUAUCUUAAUGCCGGAAAAUUUUUGAUGUGUAUCAGAUUCAAACGGUAAACAAAGAGAGGCUAGAAGAAUUGAAUAAGAAACUUGAGUUCAAUUAGAUUAAUGAAUACAAAUGAGAAGUCCGUCCCACUCCUUCCCUUGCAGCCCACUCAUGCAUGUGACUAGCUGAAGAACGCUUCUGAAGUGAAAGCCCAGGAUAAAAUGACGAGAAGCUGAGGAAAAAUGAGCAUUGUUGUGGGUGAAAUGAUGCCCCCUACAAAUAUAUCCACGUCAACCCCUAGAACGUGUCCCAGACUCUGUGACCAUAUAAUACUGAAGAUCACUUACCAUAAAUGCUGAAAACUUCUAGAGCAGUGGGAAUUUGAAGCUAGCAUGUAGCAAAAGAAAGG